GGGAAUAUUGCACCAUGGGCGAAAGCCUGAUGCAGCAACGCCGCGUGAGUGAUGAAGGCCCUCGGGUCGUAAAACUCUUUUCAAGAGGAAGAGGAAGGACGGGACUCUUGGAAUAAGCCUCGGCUAACUACGUGCCAGCAGCCGCGGUAACACGUCGGAGGCGAGCGUUUUUCGGAUUUACUGGGCGUAAAGCGCGUGUAGGCGGCUU
rnacentral:rRNA from 1 species